AUUGAACGCUGGCGGCAUGCUUUACACAUGCAAGUCGAACGGUAACAGGCCUUCGGGUGCUGACGAGUGGCGAACGGGUGAGUAAUGCAUCGGAACGUACCCAGAGGUGGGGGAUAACGCAGCGAAAGCUGUGCUAAUACCGCAUGUGAUCUGAGGAUGAAAGCGGGGGACCGAGCAGCAAUGUUUGGCCUCGCGCCUUUGGAGCGGCCGAUGUCGGAUUAGCUAGUUGGUGGGGUAAAGGCCUACCAAGGCGACGAUCCGUAGCUGGUCUGAGAGGACGACGAGACACAGGGGGAUUGGGAAAGGCCCCAGACCCCGAGGGGGGGCGGGGGGGGGAAAUUUUGGAAAGGGGGGGAAAGCCUGACCCAGCAAGGCGGGGGGGGGAAAGAGGGCCGCGGGGUGGAAAACCGUUUUGGGGGGAAAGAAAAGGGUGCCCGAAAAAACGGGGGGAAAGGGAGGGGACCGGAAAAAAAAGACCGGGAAAACGACG
rnacentral:rRNA from 1 species